UACGGGGGGGGCAAGCGUUGUUCGGAAUUCCUGGGCGUAAAGGGCUCGUCGGCGGCCACCUCAGUCGGACGUGAAAUCCCUCGGCUUAACCGGGGAAUGGCGUCCGAUACUGGAUGGCUUGAGUUUGGGAGAGGGAUGCGGAAUUCCAGGUGUAGCGGUGAAAUGCGUAGAUAUCGGAAGGAACACCUGUGGCGAAAGCGGCUCACUGGACCACAACUGACGCUGAUGCACGAAAGCUAGGGGAGCAAACAGG
rnacentral:rRNA from 1 species